UUAAGUUAUUAAGGGCGCACGGUGGAUGCCUUGGCACUAGAAGCCGAUGAAGGACGUUACUAACGACGAUAUGCUUUGGGGAGCUGUAAGUAAGCUUUGAUCCAGAGAUUUCCGAAUGGGGAAACCCAGCAUGAGUUAUGUCAUGUUAUCGAUAUGUGAAUACAUAGCAUAUCAGAAGGCACACCCGGAGAACUGAAACAUCUUAGUACCCGGAGGAAGAGAAAGAAAAUUCGAUUCCCUUAGUAGCGGCGAGCGAAACGGGAAGAGCCCAAACCAACAAGCUUGCUUGUUGGGGUUGUAGGACACUCUAUACGGAGUUACAAAGGACGACAUUAGACGAAUCAUCUGGAAAGAUGAAUCAAAGAAGGUAAUAAUCCUGUAGUCGAAAAUGUUGUCUCUCUUGAGUGGAUCCUGAGUACGACGGAGCACGUGAAAUUCCGUCGGAAUCUGGGAGGACCAUCUCCUAAGGCUAAAUACUCUCUAGUGACCGAUAGUGAACCAGUACCGUGAGGGAAAGGUGAAAAGCACCCCGGAAGGGGAGUGAAAUAGAACCUGAAACCGUGUGCUUACAAGUAGUCAGAGCCCGUUAAUGGGUGAUGGCGUGCCUUUUGUAGAAUGAACCGGCGAGUUACGAUUUGAUGCAAGGUUAAGCAGUAAAUGUGGAGCCGUAGCGAAAGCGAGUCUGAAUAGGGCGUUUAGUAUUUGGUCGUAGACCCGAAACCAGGUGAUCUACCCUUGGUCAGGUUGAAGUUCAGGUAACACUGAAUGGAGGACCGAACCGACUUACGUUGAAAAGUGAGCGGAUGAACUGAGGGUAGCGGAGAAAUUCCAAUCGAACCUGGAGAUAGCUGGUUCUCUCCGAAAUAGCUUUAGGGCUAGCCUCAAGUGAUGAUUAUUGGAGGUAGAGCACUGUUUGGACGAGGGGCCCCUCUCGGGUUACCGAAUUCAGACAAACUCCGAAUGCCAAUUAAUUUAACUUGGGAGUCAGAACAUGGGUGAUAAGGUCCGUGUUCGAAAGGGAAACAGCCCAGACCACCAGCUAAGGUCCCAAAAUAUAUGUUAAGUGGAAAAGGAUGUGGCGUUGCCCAGACAACUAGGAUGUUGGCUUAGAAGCAGCCAUCAUUUAAAGAGUGCGUAAUAGCUCACUAGUCGAGUGACACUGCGCCGAAAAUGUACCGGGGCUAAACAUAUUACCGAAGCUGUGGAUUGUCCUUUGGACAAUGGUAGGAGAGCGUUCUAAGGGCGUUGAAGCAUGAUCGUAAGGACAUGUGGAGCGCUUAGAAGUGAGAAUGCCGGUGUGAGUAGCGAAAGACGGGUGAGAAUCCCGUCCACCGAUUGACUAAGGUUUCCAGAGGAAGGCUCGUCCGCUCUGGGUUAGUCGGGUCCUAAGCUGAGGCCGACAGGCGUAGGCGAUGGAUAACAGGUUGAUAUUCCUGUACCACCUAUAAUCGUUUUAAUCGAUGGGGGGACGCAGUAGGAUAGGCGAAGCGUGCGAUUGGAUUGCACGUCUAAGCAGUAAGGCUGAGUAUUAGGCAAAUCCGGUACUCGUUAAGGCUGAGCUGUGAUGGGGAGAAGACAUUGUGUCUUCGAGUCGUUGAUUUCACACUGCCGAGAAAAGCCUCUAGAUAGAAAAUAGGUGCCCGUACCGCAAACCGACACAGGUAGUCAAGAUGAGAAUUCUAAGGUGAGCGAGCGAACUCUCGUUAAGGAACUCGGCAAAAUGACCCCGUAACUUCGGGAGAAGGGGUGCUCUUUAGGGUUAACGCCCAGAAGAGCCGCAGUGAAUAGGCCCAAGCGACUGUUUAUCAAAAACACAGGUCUCUGCUAAACCGUAAGGUGAUGUAUAGGGGCUGACGCCUGCCCGGUGCUGGAAGGUUAAGAGGAGUGGUUAGCUUCUGCGAAGCUACGAAUCGAAGCCCCAGUAAACGGCGGCCGUAACUAUAACGGUCCUAAGGUAGCGAAAUUCCUUGUCGGGUAAGUUCCGACCCGCACGAAAGGCGUAACGAUUUGGGCACUGUCUCAACGAGAGACUCGGUGAAAUCAUAGUACCUGUGAAGAUGCAGGUUACCCGCGACAGGACGGAAAGACCCCGUGGAGCUUUACUGUAGCCUGAUAUUGAAAUUCGGCACAGCUUGUACAGGAUAGGUAGGAGCCUUUGAAACGUGAGCGCUAGCUUACGUGGAGGCGCUGGUGGGAUACUACCCUAGCUGUGUUGGCUUUCUAACCCGCACCACUUAUCGUGGUGGGAGACAGUGUCAGGCGGGCAGUUUGACUGGGGCGGUCGCCUCCUAAAAGGUAACGGAGGCGCUCAAAGGUUCCCUCAGAAUGGUUGGAAAUCAUUCAUAGAGUGUAAAGGCAUAAGGGAGCUUGACUGCGAGACCUACAAGUCGAGCAGGGUCGAAAGACGGACUUAGUGAUCCGGUGGUUCCGCAUGGAAGGGCCAUCGCUCAACGGAUAAAAGCUACCCCGGGGAUAACAGGCUUAUCUCCCCCAAGAGUUCACAUCGACGGGGAGGUUUGGCACCUCGAUGUCGGCUCAUCGCAUCCUGGGGCUGUAGUCGGUCCCAAGGGUUGGGCUGUUCGCCCAUUAAAGCGGUACGCGAGCUGGGUUCAGAACGUCGUGAGACAGUUCGGUCCCUAUCCGUCGUGGGCGUAGGAAAUUUGAGAGGAGCUGUCCUUAGUACGAGAGGACCGGGAUGGACAUACCUCUGGUGUACCAGUUGUCGUGCCAACGGCAUAGCU
rnacentral:rRNA from 1 species